ACUGUAUGCGAAGAGGCACGGUGCAGCCAGGUGAGCCAACAGGCUCCAAGUUCAGUCUGCCAGCCAAGGUCAGGAACCUCCAGAAUCGUCCCAUAGGACACUCCGACGUCUGCCAUGCCCCAGCUGCUGGGAUAAGUACAGGGAACCAAGGGAAGCAGCAAUAAAAUAAAAGGAGGGAAGACAAGCAGGCCUGAGGAAGAGCAGAACAGGUGGAAAAGGAGCCAAACCCUGCCUGCUUCCCCACUGGAAGCAAUGAGGAUAACACACAGCACCCCCUGCUGACAGGAUCAAAGCUUUGCAGUCCUUCCCUUCCUCCAGAGGAGAAAAACAGAUAAUCAAGAUUGAAACAAAAAGUGCUGUCAGCUGUGGGAGCAGCCACAGGAGUGGGCUCCUCUUCUGGCUUUCACCUCGCUCUUCGCCCACCCUCCUCCUGGGCGGGAGCCCGGCCAGACCUGAACAGUGGAACGCUUCUGCUCAGUACAGCACCACACGGGCACACACACAUGUUCUGCCGGCAAUACUAGCUGGAGACUGAACAGGGGGAGCACACAGCAGGCAACCUGGGGCAGGGAAAGGCAGCGGGGGUGGUGCUAGACCUCACGACCCGGUGGAUCCUGGGAGAAUCCCACGUGCAGCUCUUGG